AGAGGAGAGGGUGGAGUGGUGAAGACAAACGACGGAGCUGGAGGCACUCGUUAGCAACGGUGGGCCGAACGGUUGAGGAAGGGAGAAGGCCGACGGUUAUUGUCGAGGGAAGUUGGUGAGUCCUUGUGAAGAAGAAGACAUGAGGUGUUGAGAGGAAAGAAAGAUCAAGAAGGAGGUGGGAAGAAGAGGCCGAAAACUGAGGGGCACGACCUGACCCGACCCGACCCACCUGAAAACACCAAGCUUAGUCAAGGGGACACUUGAAGACUCGAUAA